rnacentral:rRNA from 1 species
UACGUAGGUGGCAAGCGUUGUCCGGAUUUAUUGGGUUUAAAGGGUGCGUAGGCGGUUCUGUAAGUCAGUGGUGAAAUACUCUAGCUUAACUAGAGGGGUGCCAAUGAUACUGCAGAACUUGAGUACAGAUGAGGUAGGCGGAAUUGACGGUGUAGCGGUGAAAUGCAUAGAUAUCGUCAAGAACACCGAUAGCGAAGGCAGCUUACUGGGCUGUAACUGACGCUGAGGCGCGAAAGCUAGGGGAGCAAACGG